GACAGAGGGGGCAAGCGUUAUUCGGAUUUACUGGGCGUAAAGGGCGCGUAGGCGGCUUGGCAAGUCCGGUGUGAAAACGCUACCGCUCAACGGAGCGAAGGCGCUGGAAACUGCCAAACUUGAGUGCGGAAGAGGCAGGUGGAACACCCGGUGUAGCGGUGGAAUGCUUAGAGAUCGGGUAGAACACCAGAGGCGAAGGCGGCCUGCUGGUUCGCAACUGACGCUGAGGCGCGAAAGCGUGGGGAGCAAACGGG
rnacentral:misc_RNA from 1 species